UACAUGUGGGGCAAGCGUUGUUCGGAAUUACUGGGCGUAAAGGGCUCGUAGGCGGCCAACUAAGUCAGACGUGAAAUCCCUCGGCUUAACCGGGGAACUGCAUCUGAUACUGGAUGGCUCGAGUUUGGGAGAGGGAUGCGGAGUUCCAGGUGUAGCGGUGAAAUGCGUAGAUAUCUGGAGGAACACCGGUGGCGAAGGCGGCAUCCUGGACCAACACUGACGCUGAUGAGCGAAAGCCAGGGGAGCAAACGGG
rnacentral:rRNA from 1 species